rnacentral:rRNA from 1 species
AGUGAACGCUGGCGGUAGGCCUAACACAUGCAAGUCGAACGGCAGCACAGGAAAGCUUGCUCUCUGGGUGGCGAGUGGCGGACGGGUGAGGAAUACAUCGGAAUCUACUCUGUCGUGGGGGAUAACGUAGGGAAACUUACGCUAAUACCGCAUACGACCUACGGGUGAAAGCAGGGGACCUUCGGGCCUUGCGCGAUUGAAUGAGCCGGUGUCGGAUUAGCUGGUUGGCGGGGUAAAGGCCCACCAAGGCGACGAUCCGUAGCUGGUCUGAGAGGAUGAUCAGCCACACUGGAACUGAGACACGGUUCAGACUCCUACGGGAGGCAGCAGUGGGGAAUAUUGGACAAUGGGCGCAAGCCUGAUCCAGACAUACCGCGUGGGUGAAGAAGGCCUUCGGGUUGUAAAGCCCUUUUGUUGGGAAAGAAAUCCAGCUGGCUAAUACCCGGUUGGGAUGACGGUACCCAAAGAAUAAGCACCGGCUAACUUCGUGCCAGCCGCCGCAGUAA